CUGAUGCAGCGACGCCGCGUGAGGGAUGACGGCCUUCGGGUUGUAAACCUCUUUCAGCAGGGAAGAAGCGAAAGUGACGGUACCUGCAGAAGAAGCGCCGGCUAACUACGUGCCAGCAGCCGCGGUAAUACGUAGGGCGCAAGCGUUGUCCGGAAUUAUUGGGCGUAAAGAGCUCGUAGGCGGCUUGUCACGUCGGAUGUGAAAGCCCGGGGCUUAACCCCGGGUCUGCAUUCGAUACGGGCUAGCUAGAGUGUGGUAGGGGAGAUCGGAAUUCCUGGUGUAGCGGUGAAAUGCGCAGAUAUCAGGAGGAACACCGGUGGCGAAGGCGGAUCUCUGGGCCAUUACUGACGCUGAGGAGCGAAAGCGUGGGGAGCGAACAGGAUUAGAUACCCUGGUAGUCCACGCCGUAAACGUUGGGAACUAGGUGUUGGCGACAUUCCACGUCGUCGGUGCCGCAGCUAACGCAUUAAGUUCCCCGCCUGGGGAGUACGGCCGCAAGGCUAAAACUC
rnacentral:rRNA from 1 species